rnacentral:rRNA from 1 species
CCUACGGGAGGCAGCAGUGGGGGAUAUUGCACAAUGGGGGAAACCCUGAUGCAGCGACGCCGCGUGUGGGAAGACGGUCCUCUGGAUUGUAAACCACUGUCCCCAGGGACGAAGAUGACGGUACCGGGGGAGGAAGCGCCGGCUAACUACGUGCCAGCAGCCGCGGUAAUACGUCGGGAGCGAGCGCUGGCCGGAAUUACUGGGUGUAAAGGGAGCGGAGGCGGGACUGCAAGUUGGGUGUCAAAUCUACCGGCUCAACCGGUAGCCGCACUCAAAACUGCAGUUCUUGAGUGAAGUAGAGGCAGGCGGAAUUCCUAGUGUAGCGGUGAACUGCGUAGAUAUUAGGAGGAACACCAGUGGCGAAGGCGGCCUGCUGGGCUUUUACUGCCGCUGAGGCUCGAAAGUGUGGGGAGCAAACAGGAUUAGAUACCCCGGUAGUC